GACGAACGCUGGCGGCGUGCCUAAUACAUGCAAGUUGAGCGCUGAGGGCUGGUUCUUGUCCCAACUGGUUGAGCAGCGAACGGGUGAGUAACGCGUGGUGAAUCUGCCUUUGAGCGGGGGACAACAUUUGGAAACGAAUGCUAAUACCGCAUAAAAACUUUAAACACAAUUUUUAAGUUUGAAAGAUGCACUUGCAUCACUCAAAGAUGAUCCCGCGUUGUAUUAGCUAGUUGGUGAGGUAAAGGCUCACCAAGGCGAUGAUACAUAGCCGACCUGAGAGGGUGAUCGGCCACAUUGGGACUGAGACACGGCCCAAACCCCUACGGGAGGCAGCAGUAGGGAAUCUUCGGCAAGAGACGAAAGUCUGACCGAGCAACGCCGCGUGAGUGAAGAAGGUUUUCGGAUCGUAAAACUCGGUUGGUAGAGAAGAACGUUGGUGAGAGUGGAAAGCUCAUCAAGUGACGGUAACUACCCAGAAAGGGACGGCUAACUACGUG
rnacentral:rRNA from 1 species